rnacentral:lncRNA from 1 species
GAUAAUGGAGGGCAGGUGCUAUAUUAAGGGCAAAACAGGCUCCUCCAGGACUGGAGCCAGGGAGCUGACCCAGGAAGGUGGGACAUGACUUCUCAGACAAGAAGGACAUGUUUCCUUUGCAGGCAGGAACUAUCUUGAACGAAGGCAGAGUGCUCUGGAAAGGAUGGGGCAUGUGUCAGGAAGACCUGGUAGCUCUGUUAAAUGGAAGCAUGUAUUACACGAAGGUCAUACAAAG